CUGGUUGAUCCUGCCGGACCCGACUGCUAUCGGAGUGAGACUAAGCCAUGCGAGUCGUGCGCUCCGGGCUGGCGGAGCGCGGCGUACGGCUCAGUAACACGUGGUCAACCUACCCUGCGGACGGCUAUAACCCCGGGAAACUGGGGCUAAUAGCCGAUAGGGGAUAGGUGCUGGAAGGCCCUGCCCUCGAAAGGCCUAACCACCCAUGCCGUGGUUAGGCGCCGCAGGAUGGGGCUGCGCCCUAUCAGGUAGACGGUGGGGUAACGGCUCACCGUGCCUGUAACGGGUGCGGGCCCUGGGAGGGGGAGCCCGGAGAUGGGCACUGAGACAAGGGCCCAGGCCCUACGGGGCGCAGCAGGCGCGAAAACUCCGCUAUGCGCGAAAGCGCGACGGGGUCACUCCGAGUGCCGCCCGCUGAGGGCGGCUUUUGCCCAGUCCAAAAGGCCGGGCGAAUAAGGGGAGGGCAAGUUUGGUGUCAGCCGCCGCGGUAAUACCAACUCCCCGAGUGGUCGGGACGAUUAUUGGGCUUAAAGCGUCCGUAGCCGGCCCGGUGUGUCUCUGGUCAAAUCCGGCGUCUCAAGCGCCGGACCGCCGGAGAUACUACCGGGCUAGGGAGCGGGAGAGGCGGGCGGUAUUCCCUGGGUAGGGGUAAAAUCCUAAGAUCCAGGGAGGGCCAUCGGUGGCGAAGGCGGCCCGCUAGAACGCGUCCGACGGUGAGGGACGAAAGCUGGGGGAGCGAUCCGGAUUAGAUACCCGGGUAGUCCCAGCCGUAAACGAUGCAGGCUAGGUGUGUGGACGCCUUAGGGGCGUCCAUGUGCCGAAGGGAAACCGUUAAGCCUGCCGCCUGGGGAGUACGGCCGCAAGGCUGAAACCCUAGGAGGCCCUUAACUGAUAUAAUGAGGAAGGUUUCUCCUAGGGCAGCACACUUAAAGGAAUUGGCGGGGGAGCACCACAAGGGGUGGAGCCUGCGGUUCAAUUGGAGUCAACGCCGG
rnacentral:rRNA from 1 species